rnacentral:rRNA from 1 species
GACGAACGCUGGCGGCGUGCUUAACACAUGCAAGUCGAACGGGAAGGCCCUGCUUUUGUGGGGUGCUCGAGUGGCGAACGGGCGAGUAACACGUGAGUAACCUGCCCUUGACUUUGGGAUAACUUCAGGAAACUGGGGCUAAUACCGGAUAGGAGCUCCUGCUGCAUGGUGGGGGUUGGAAAGUUUCGGCGGUUGGGGAUGGACUCGCGGCUUAUCAGCUUGUUGGUGGGGUAGUGGCUUACCAAGGCUUUGACGGGUAGCCGGCCUGAGAGGGUGACCGGCCACAUUGGGACUGAGAUACGGCCCAGACUCCUACGGGAGGCAGCAGUGGGGAAUAUUGCACAAUGGGCGGAAGCCUGAUGCAGCAACGCCGCGUGCGGGAUGACGGCCUUCGGGUUGUAAACCGCUUUCGCCUGUGACGAAGCGUGAGUGACGGUAAUGGGUAAAGAAGCACCGGCUAACUACGUG